GAUGAACGCUGGCGGCGUGCCUAAUACAUGCAAGUAGAACGCUGAAGGAGGAGCUUGCUCUUCUGGAUGAGUUGCGAACGGGUGAGUAACGCGUAGGUAACCUGCCUGGUAGCGGGGGAUAACUAUUGGAAACGAUAGCUAAUACCGCAUGACAACAGUUAUUGCAUGAUAACUGUUUAAAAGGGGCAACUGCUCCACUACCAGAUGGACCUGCGUUGUAUUAGCUAGUUGGUGAGGUAACGGCUCACCAAGGCGACGAUACAUAGCCGACCUGAGAGGGUGAUAGGCCACACUGGGACUGAGACACGGCCCAGACUCCUACGGGAGGCAGCAGUAGGGAAUCUUCGGCAAUGGACGGAAGUCUGAACGAGCAACGCCGCGUGAGUGAAGAAGGUUUUCGGAUCGUAAAGCUCUGUUGUAAGAGAAGAACGAGUGUGAGAGUGGAAAGUUCACACUGUGACGGUAUCUUACCAGAAAGGGACGGCUAACUACGUG
rnacentral:rRNA from 1 species